GUCCUCUCUAGGGUAACCACAGGGGUUCCACAAGGCUCUGUCCUUGGCCCCCUUCUAUUCUCAAUAUACACUCGCUCACUUGGUCACAUCAUCCAAUCACAUGGCUUCUCCUAUCACUCUUAUGCUGAUGACACCCAGCUCUAUCUGUCAUUCCCACCAGAAGAUGCUACUAUAGCAACAAAAAUUUUGGCCUGCCUCUCAGACAUAUCGGCAUGGAUGUCUGAGCGACACCUCCAACUCAACCUAUCCAAAACCGAGAUUCUGAUCUUUCCGGGCAACAAUUCUCCUCAGCAAAACCUUUCAAUUCAAAUUGGAUCGCUAUUGUUAACACCCACGGCAUCUGCAAAAAGCCUUGGAGUUUGGAUAGAUAACAAACUGAGUUUGAACCAUCAUGUUGCUGCGAUCUCCAGAUCCUGCAGGUUCACUCUCUACAACAUUCGCAAGAUUCGGCCUUUUCUCUCACAACAGGCUACGCAGCUCCUCGUCCAGGCAAUGGUCAUCUCCAAACUCGACUACUGUAACUCUCUCCUGGCUGGAGCCUCUGCAGUCACCAUAAAACCACUCCAGAUGAUCCAAAAUAUGGCAGCCCGUCUCAUUUUCAAUCAGCCAAAAUACACCCAUGUUACACCUCUUCUUACCUCCCUCCACUGGCUCCCGGUAGCUGCUCGCAUUGAGUUCAAAUCCUUGAUGCUUGCCUACAGGGCUGUAAAUGGAACUGCGCCCUCCUACAUCAACACAAUACUACCUAGAUACACUCCUGCACGCUCUCUCAGAUCAGCAAACGAAAGGAGACUAAAAAUUCCUUCUUCACGGGGUCUCCGAUUCCAAUCAUGUCUGUUCUCCGUUGUUGUCCCUGGCUGGUGGAACAACCUGCCCUCCUCCACACGACUAGCCGAGACUAUCACCACUUUUAAGAAGAAGGUGAAAACCCUCUUAUUCCAAAAAUAUUACAGACAAAUUUAACACAUACACAUGCAUACACAUUGAACAAACAAAUACAAAAUGUAUAAAUACAUUAUAAUUUUUCUUAGUCUAGCACCCAACACUCUCCGAGCGUGUUCUUCAAUGACAAGUCUAAGCCUUAUCAGGGCUCUUAGUU
ensembl:lncRNA